rnacentral:rRNA from 1 species
UGGGGAAUAUUGCACAAUGGGCGCAAGCCUGAUGCAGCCAUGCCGCGUGUAUGAAGAAGGCCUUCGGGUUGCAAAGUACUUUCAGCGGGGAGGAAGGGAGUAAAGUUAAUACCUUUGCUCAUUGACGUUACCCGCAGAAGAAGCACCGGCUAACUCCGUGCCAGCAGCCGCGGUAAUACGGAGGGUGCAAGCGUUAAUCGGAAUUACUGGGCGUAAAGCGCACGCAGGCGGUUUGUUAAGUCAGAUGUGAAAUCCCCGGGCUCAACCUGGGAACUGCAUCUGAUACUGGCAAGCUUGAGUCUCGUAGAGGGGGGUAGAAUUCCAGGUGUAGCGGUGAAAUGCGUAGAGAUCUGGAGGAAUACCGGUGGCGAAGGCGGCCCCCUGGACAAAGACUGACGCUCAGGUGCGAAAGCGUGGGGAGCAAACAGG